ACUACAAGAGAGGCGGAGAAUAGCGGCAAAAAAUUGCCAGCCUUUUAGCCAACCGCCGCAAAUUUCAGGGAUACCAGCAAUUGAUUUUCAUGUGCCGCUAAUCAGGAUCUUUAUCAUCAUUUAUUCUCUCUAUCUUUAUCUUAUGACUAAUAAUUUCUCUAAAGCUGCAGAAACCGGCGAACUGAGAUUGGUAGCACGCAAAGCCCUGACGUUGCUGCUCCACUAUGCGCCACUGCUGCCCAGCUAUCCUCCUCUCUCCGGUGUCGAUCUUUCGCCUCUCCUCCACAGUGCGUGAAACCCCUACUCCCUUCUCCUCCAUGGUGCGUGAAAUCCCUAACCUUUGCUCCACUCUGCGCCUCUAUGGGGUUGUCGAGUCGCGCGGCUGCCAUCUGUCCUUCUCUUCCCAGCGUCGACCUUUCAGCUCUCCUCCACAAUGCGCGAAACCCUUGCUUCCUCCUCCACGGACGUGGAAUAAAGUCGCUUAGUAAUUUGGUUAUUCAACUUAGGGAAGUCUGUAACCAUCCUGACCAUUUAGAGUCUGCCUUUGAUGGUUCAUGGCUUUAUCUUCCUGUAAAUGAGAUAGUUGAACAAUGUAGAAAAUUUUGUUGCUUGAACGGCUGUUGGAAAGGUUAUUUGCAAGGAAACACAAAGGAAUCAAGGUUACAAAGAUAAGCAGUGGCAAAAAGCCAUUGGAUUUUAUUCGGAAGCCAUAAAACUAAGCAGCACAACAAUGCAACAUACAACAGUGAUAAGUUCCAAGCUUAUCUAGAACUUGGAAGAAUGUCAAAGUGUAUUUUAGAAGAGGUAGAGCUAAAGAGAUGCUUGGCUACUAUACCGAUGCAAUUGAUGAGUAUUGCAACAAAAAUGCAGAGUGAGUCUAAAUGGAAGCAGAUGAGAGAAUUAGCUAUGUCUAAUGGAAGGGUACUUUUCUAUGUUAUUUGAAACUUAAAUUGUAUUUCUCCAACACCUAAGCUGGAUUUCAUUUCUAACUAUCCAUGUCAAAAUAUUCUAAAGUGAGUGCCUUGUUAUCUUAUAGUUAGAUAUGGCUGAGGAUUGUUUGAAUCA